GAUUCCAAGAAACGAGCCACACUAACAAUCAAAGCAAAUAAUACACAAAAUAAAUAAAAAUUAAUGCCCAAAGUUAACUACAUUCUUAUGUGACCAUAUAUGAGGCAAUAAGCAUACUAUAAUAUUCUAAAGUUCCAAGCUAACAAUUAGGAAUGAGAAAUAUAUUCACUCACUCAAGGAAGCCAUGUAUUUUAUAUUAAUCUCACACUAUCUUCAAAUUGCAAGUAUAUUCAAAACACAAAAAAAAAAUGUGGAAAUUAUUGUA
rnacentral:misc_RNA from 1 species